rnacentral:rRNA from 1 species
ACUCAAAGGAAUUGACGGGGGCCCGCACAAGCGGUGGAGUAUGUGGUUCAAUUCGACGCAACGCGAAGAACCUUACCAGGCCUUGACAUGCCACGGCGACUUCCAGAGAUGGAUUUCUUCCCGCAAGGGACGUGGACACAGGUGCUGCAUGGCUGUCGUCAGCUCGUGUCGUGAGAUGUUGGGUUAAGUCCCGCAACGAGCGCAACCCUCAUUGUCAGUUGCUACCAGGUUAUGCUGGGCACUCUGAUGAAACUGCCGGUGAUAAGCCGGAGGAAGGCGGGGAUGACGUCAAGUCCUCAUGGCCCUUACGGCCUGGGCUACACACGUACUACAAUGGUGGUGACAGUGGGAAGCCAAAGCGCAAGCUGGAGCGAACCCCCAAAAGCCACCUCAGUUCAGAUUGCACUCUGCAACUCGAGUGCAUGAAGUCGGAAUCGCUAGUAAUCGCAGAUCAGCACGCUGCGGUGAAUACGUUCCCGGGCCUUGUACACACCGCCCGU